rnacentral:rRNA from 1 species
UUGCCCAUUUGAGGGGGAUACCAGUUGGAAACGACUGUUAAUACCGCAUAAUAUCUGUGGAUUAAAGGUGGCUUUCGGGCUGUCGCAGAUGGAUGAGCCUGCGUUGGAUUAGCUAGUUGGUGGGGUAAGGGCCCACCAAGGCUACGAUCCAUAGCUGAUUUGAGAGGAUGAUCAGCCACAUUGGGACUGAGACACGGCCCAAACUCCUACGGGAGGCAGCAGUGGGGAAUAUUGGACAAUGGGGGCAACCCUGAUCCAGCAAUGCCAUGUGUGUGAAGAAGGCCCUAGGGUUGUAAAGCACUUUAGUUGGGGAGGAAAGCCUCAAGGUUAAUAGCCUUGGGGAGGACGUUACCCAAAGAAUAAGCACCGGCUAACUCCGUGCCAGCAGCCGCGGUAAUACGGGGGGUGCAAGCGUUAAUCGGAAUUACUGGGCGUAAAGGGUCUGUAGGUGGUUUGUUAAGUCAGAUGUGAAAGCCCAGGGCUCAACCUUGGAACUGCAUUUGAUACUGGCAAACUAGAGUACGGUAGAGGAAUGGGGAAUUUCUGGUGUAGCGGUGAAAUGCGUAGAGAUCAGAAGGAACACCAAUGGCGAAGGCAACAUUCUGGACCGAUACUGACACUGAAGGACGAAAGCGUGGGGAUCAAACAGGAUUAGAUACCCUGGUAGUCCACGCUGUAAACGAUGAGUACUAGCUGUUGGAGUCGGUGUAAAGGCUCUAGUGGCGCAGCUAACGCGAUAAGUACUCCGCCUGGGGACUACGGCCGCAAGGCUAAAACUCAAAGGAAUUGACGGGGACCCGCACAAGCGGUGGAGCAUGUGGUUUAAUUCGAUGCAACGCGAAGAACCUUACCUGGUCUUGACAUCCUGCGAACUUUCUAGAGAUAGAUUGGUGCCUUCGGGAACGCAGUGACAGGUGCUGCACGGCUGUCGUCAGCUCGUGUUGUGAAAUGUUGGGUUAAGUCCCGCAACGAGCGCAACCCCUAUUGAUAGUUACCAUCAUUAAGUUGGGUACUCUAUUGAGACUGCCGCUGACAAGGCGGAGGAAGGUGGGGACGACGUCAAGUCAUCAUGGCCCUUACGACCAGGGCUACACACGUGCUACAAUGGGUAUUACAGAGGGCUGCGAAGGUGCGAGCUGGAGC